CUUGGUUUGUGAGUAGUGCUGAGCGACUCGCGCCCUAAGGCGAGUGGCAGGCUUCCAUUUUGAGGGCCUCUCCCACUAGGCCCUCGGCGGGCCCGCGAGGGCCUCGGCGCGGGAAUGUUCCCCCGACGAGGAGAACGGAGCGAUUUGAGCGAGGCACGCUCCUUCUGCGUGGCCCUUAACCAAGCUCGCGUGGAUCUAGAGACGGCUGUCGCAAGCAGCUCGCUUGGCUCGCCUGCUUGAUGUAAAUGGCGGUGCGUGGAAACUAGACGCGAGUGGGGGUUUAAAAAAAAAAACAGCGGUCCGAAAUCCGCGUCCCUUUUUUUAUUACCGUGGUUAAUUGUGGCUUUGGUUUAAAUUGGCGGAGAAAUAUAUAUAUGCGUCGGUCGGUGCCUCGCACAGUAAAAUAGUAGCCGGCCGUAGCAUGCGACGCCGUUUUAAUGUAUUCGUUAUUAGAAUGUUAUUUCAACAGUUGCUGUUGGAAAUGGCGAACGCGUAAAAAAUGAGGCUGAAGGCGCAGUGAAGAGGCUGAACCACGAUGGCGACUCGAGGCGCUCCACAACAACUCGGGAGACGGCGGAGGGGGGAUAAAGCGAGAGAACGGGGCCAGUUAAUGACGCAGAUUUUGGGAUGAACGUGGGGAACAACGUGGCCAUUAAAAUGAGUCGGAACUGUUAAUGAAUUAUAGGUGUGCGUGUUAUGAAGAAGGGUCAUUGCGUGAAAUGUCGCCGAUUUAUAUAUGUUUAAGGCCAAAGGAUUGACACGUUAAUUCCCCCCAUAAUUGUGCACUACUGCUUGGCGAAAGCCUACGUGUUAAAAUCACCAGAUGUGUUGUUUGUCGAGAUCAGAUCAAUGGCGGGAAUUGCGACCGCUGGUUAGAUUUGCACACAACGCACCCUGUGUUAUUGUGAUGGUGGGGGGGGGGGGAGAUGUGCCAAUACAUUGAUUAAGAACGUGUUCCACAAGAAUGGUGGAACACGUUAUCGGGAGUUGUAAACCAUAUAUCGGUGUAGGAAUGAGAUUGUUGGAAGGCGAAGCGUUGCGAUGGCGUCGGUCGAGGUCUCUUAAUCCAGCGGUGGGACGAUUGAUGUUUGACCGUCAUCAUUGACACGAUAGCUGUAAUGAAAUAACUGAAGACGGAAGCGAGCAAUGGUUUUGACGUCGGGUGUGUUGGGAGGAGACUGUCAUCAUAUGUGUGCUCAAAUAAUGCAGAACUAUAUUUAACUAGACGCCAUUUCAUGAAA